GACGAACGCUGGCGGCGUGCUUAACACAUGCAAGUCGAACGAGUGGCGAACGGGUGAGUAAUGCUUGGGAAUCUAGCUUAUGGAGGGGGAUAACUACGGGAAACUGUAGCUAAUACCGCGUACCAUAGGAUGAGCCCAAGUGGGAUUAGGUAGUUGGUGAGGUAAAGGCUCACCAAGCCGACGAUCUCUAGCUGGUCUGAGAGGAUGACCAGCCACACUGGGACUGAGACACGGCCCAGACUCCUACGGGAGGCAGCAGUGGGGAAUUUUGGACAAUGGGGGAAACCCUGAUCCAGCCAUCCCGCGUGUGCGAUGAAGGCCUUCGGGUUGUAAAGCACUUUUGGCAGGAAAGCGGUACCUGCAGAAUAAGCACCGGCUAACUACGUGCCAGCAGCCGCGGUAAUAC
rnacentral:rRNA from 1 species